rnacentral:rRNA from 1 species
AAUAAUGCACAAUGGAGGGAACUCUGAUGCAGCAACGCCGCGUGAGUGAAGAAGGUUUUCGGAUCGUAACACUCUGUCAUUGGGGAAGAAUAAAUGACGGUACCCAAUGAGGAAGCCCCGGCUAACUACGUGCCAGCAGCCGCGGUAAUACGUAGGGGGCAAGCGUUGUCCGGAAUUAUUGGGCGUAAAGGGUGCGUAGGCGGCCUUUUAAGUCAGAUGUGAAAGACCACGGCUUAACCGUGGGGUUGCAUUUGAAACUGGAGGGCUUGAGUAUCGGAGAGGGUAGUGGAAUUCCCAGUGUAGCGGUGGAAUGCGUAGAGAUGUGGAGGAGUACCGAUGGCGAAGGCAGCCCCCUGGGAUGAUACUGACGCUCAUGCACGAAAGCGUGGGGAGCAAAC